ACUCCUACGGGAGGCAGCAGUGGGGAAUAUUGCACAAUGGGCGCAAGCCUGAUGCAGCCAUGCCGCGUGUAUGAAGAAGGCCUUCGGGUUGUAAAGUACUUUCAGCAGUGAGGAAGGUGGGUAUNGUUAAUAGCAUACUCAUUUGACGUUAGCUGCAGAAGAAGCACCGGCUAACUCCGUGCCAGCAGCCGCGGUAAUACGGAGGGUGCGAGCGUUAAUCGGAAUUACUGGGCGUAAAGCGCAUGCAGGUGGUUUGUUAAGUCAGAUGUGAAAGCCCGGGGCUCAACCUCGGAAUUGCAUUUGAAACUGGCAAACUAGAGUACUGUAGAGGGGGGUAGAAUUUCAGGUGUAGCGGUGAAAUGCGUAGAGAUCUGAAGGAAUACCGGUGGCGAAGGCGGCCCCCUGGACAGAUACUGACACUCAGAUGCGAAAGCGUGGGGAGCAAACAGGAUUAGAUACCCUGGUAGGCUCU
rnacentral:rRNA from 1 species